CACACACCAUUUUCACAGAAGCUUCACCCUAAAGUUAAAGUAGGCCCACUGCACCUACAGGUGCCUCUGUGUGCAUACACAAACAGAUUUUUGUUAAUUAAAAUUAUUCAGAUGCAGGUACAAACAUCCCUGGAUUUAAUGUAAUCACUAGAUAAACCAGGAUGGUGGUGGGGGGGGGAGGGGGUUGUUUUGCAUCUUCAGAAGGUGAUCUGUGCACAUCCAUCUGUGCAGAAGAAAUAUGACUCCCUCCUGCAGACAGAUGAUAAAUAUUGUGUAGGCUCUUCUCAGCUGCAGAAUCCCUGGACAGACUGCUUACUCCUUGUCACAGGCUGUCUGUUUCACAAGUAUCCUGGCAGAGCAGUCUAUCAACCAGAGCCUGGCAUUCCUUCUGCAAGCAACAGGAUGAAGAGUGCAGAGAAAUGUGAUUUCAUGAUUGCCAGUGCUGCAGGCAGCUCAGCAGAGCCAACCUGA
rnacentral:lncRNA from 1 species